AAGUCGUAACAAGGUUUCCGUAGGUGAACCUGCGGAAGGAUCAUUAAAUAAUCAAUAAUUUUGGCUUGUCCAUUAUUAUCUAUUUACUGUGAAUUGUAUUAUUACUUGACGCUUGAGGGAUGCUCCACUGCUAUAAGGAUAGGCGGUGGGGAUGUUAACCGAGUCAUAGUCAAGCUUAGGCUUGGUAUCCUAUUAUUAUUUACCAAAAGAAUUCAGAAUUAAUAUUGUAACAUAGACCUAAAAAAUCUAUAAAACAACUUUUAACAACGGAUCUCUUGGUUCUC
rnacentral:misc_RNA from 1 species